rnacentral:rRNA from 1 species
UACAGAGGUGGCAAGCGUUGUUCGGAAUUACUGGGCGUAAAGGGCGCGUAGGCGGCCAUCUAAGUCAGACGUGAAAUCCCCCGGCUUAACCUGGGAACUGCAUUUGUGACUGCAUGGCUAGAGUUUGUCAGAGGGGGGUGGAAUUCCACGUGUAGCAGUGAAAUGCGUAGAUAUGUGGAGGAACACCGAUGGCGAAGGCAGCCCCCUGGGAUGUGACUGACGCUCAUGUACGAAAGCGUGGGGAGCAAACAGG